rnacentral:rRNA from 1 species
GAUGAACGCUGGCGGCGUGCCUAAUACAUGCAAGUCGAGCGAACGGACGAGAAGCUUGCUUCUCUGAUGUUAGCGGCGGACGGGUGAGUAACACGUGGAUAACCUACCUAUAAGACUGGGAUAACUUCGGGAAACCGUAGCUAAUACCGGAUAAUAUUUUGAACCGCAUGGUUCAAAAGUGAAAGACGGUCUUGCUGUCUCUUAUAGAUGGAUCCGCGCUGCAUUAGCUAGUUGGUAAGGUAACGGCUUACCAAGGCAACGAUGCAUAGCCGACCUGAGAGGGUGAUCGGCCACACUGGAACUGAGACACGGUCCAGACUCCUACGGGAGGCAGCAGUAGGGAAUCUUCCGCAAUGGGCGAAAGCCUGACGGAGCAACGCCGCGUGAGUGAUGAAGGUCUUCGGAUCGUAAAACUCUGUUAUUAGGGAAGAACAUAUGUGUAAGUAACUGUGCACAUCUUGACGGUACCUAAUCAGGAAGCCACGGCUAACUACGUG